ACUAUUCAUCAUACCUUGAUCAAUAGUUUUUGCCAACAUUGCAUGCCAAUUCAUCACACCUCCGCCACAUGUUGCCAUUUUAUCAACAACUGCCACCUGCUGCUCCCUUCACCUCCACUUCAUCAGUUCCUGGUUAAUACCCAGUUCAUCGGCGUCCUUAACAUCUCCUGGCUAAUACCCACUGGAACUCCUUCUGCCAUCUCUCAGCUUCUCUCUACAUCAAUUUUGGCUGCUCAAAGAAGUGCUCCAUGUUUCUUGGGCGUCUCAUCUCAUCUCUCUUCAUUAACUUCCUCUGAAAAUCAUAUUGUUUUUUGUUUGCUCCUGAUGAAGUGAAACUGAAGGUUUUUUGUAGAAAUUCUUUCCCUACAUAUAAUGAUACUUUGAAAGUUGAUAGAGAUAUUUUCAAGACUUGGAAGAAAACUGAACUUGAUAUUGCUGUUUUUGAUUUUAAGAGUGGUGAUUGUGGACCUGUAGCUUGUUAUCCUAAAUAUUCUGAUGCAUUUUGGCCUUCACUUGAUUGUAUUUCAUUUAAUUGGUAAGAUUUUCCUCAGUUUCUGAAAUGGUGCGUAAUCUUCAAUACUCACUCUUGAUUGUCGGCAGAUUUCAUUAGUAAAAAUGAUGCGUAAUCUAUUUCUUACAUUUCCUACCAAUUUUAAAUGUGAUUAAUGAUUCCAUCUCUUUUACCCCAAUUCUCACAAAAAAUUAGGCCUUUUUAAUUUAUUGCUUUUAAUUGAUGCAUAAAUUUUACUUCAGAUCUGAUGGAUCUUUCAUUGUUUUCAUGUCUGUUUCAAUUAUCAGCCUCUUCGUAUCAAUAUCAAAGGUAAUUCGCUGAUUACUACCUUCUUGGUCAACGAGUUUGCUGUAUUAUGUUGUUGCCUCGAUUAUGAAUUCCAUGAAUCAGAAUUGGCUCUGUACUUGUGAUUUUGAUAAAAUUUUGAUAUGCUUCUUACAUAAUUUGUAAAUACCUUAGUUUGAUGACUUUUGUGAUGAACAUCCGCAUCUGGAAGUAAGCCAACUAGAAUCAACUUGAUAUCGUCUGGUUGGUGUGGUCGAUGUUAAUUUUUGGGUAUGAAAUGUUCAGUUGCAGAAAAACCUGACAACUCUUUCUCCAAGCUGCAAUAUUACUUGCACCGGGAAGGACGGUUUUCCUGACCUUGAUUGCGAAAAUGAGAGCCUUUCUACAAAGUUACGAAGAACUUCGUUGUUUGCGUGCGCACAAGAGCACAAUAAUACAGUCUCCGAGAGCUCAAAAAUGCUUGUAUAAUGAUAAAAAGUGUUUACGACUUUGAGAACCCGCCUGCAAAGUUAAGAACUUUGUUUUUUGCGCACAAGAACUCUAUAGUACAGUCUCCGACAUUAGUGAAUAAGAAGCCAAUUUUAGAGGGCCUUGUAGAUGCUUACUCAAUGAAAGAUAUUCUAUCUGACUUUGAGAGCCCUCCUGCAAAGUUAAGAACAACAUUUUUUUGUGGCACAAGAGCUCGAUUAUACAGUCUCCGACAAUAGUGAAUAAGAAGCCCAUUUCAGAGGGCCUUGUAGAUGCUUGCACAAUGAAAGACAAUCUUUCCGACUUUGAGAGCGAGGAUGAAAGCUCUACUUAAAAGUCAAGAAGUUCGUUGUUUGUGCACAAGAGCUCGCUUAUAGAGUCUCCGAAGAUAGUGAAUAAGAGACCCUUUUCAGAGGGCCUUGUAGAUGCUUUCACAGUGAAGGAAAGUUUUUCCGACUUUGAGAGCCAAAUUGAGAGUCUGCCUGCAAAGUUAAGAAGGACUUCAUUGUUCGCGCACAAGAGCAUGAAUCUUUAGUCUCCUAGAACAGAGAAUAUGAGAUCGAUUUCAGAGGGCCUUUAAGCUUCAUUCAGAAAGCUUGCUAAUCUUGCUAUAAGUAGAGGCAAUAUGGAUGAUAUUACUGUGAUGUUAGUUGAUCUAAAGCAUUUCAAGUCAGGGAAUUAAAACCUAAAGAUGUUUUAUUUUGUGCUGCUAUUUAAGAUUGAAUUGUCUACUACCAAGGCAAAUUGUAGGGUAAACCUAAAGAUGUUUUAUUUUUGUUUUUUUUUUUUAUUGAUAUGCGAUUCUAAUGAAUUUUUUUUUGGGAAUUUAGUUCUUCGUAUAAAACAUUGUUAUUUUAGUUUUUUCUUGCUUGUCGCAAAUUACUUCUUGAUAGAAUUGAUGAUUUUUUUCUUUCUUGUCUUUCCCUAAGCAUUACAAUAUGUACAAUUAAAUGUGCUUGCUUUAUCAGCAUUUUUUCAUCUCUUUAUUUUUUAACACAUGCUUCAGAUCUCAAGACAAAGAAGGGUUGAUGAUAGAACUAAGAAAUGGGUUGAAGAAGCACAAUUUCAGGCUGAGUUUUGCGGUUUUGAGGAUGACGAUGGAUACGAGGAUGGAGUAGAAGAUUCAGUUUAGGCGAGAAGAUAGCAAUAAGAGGAGCAAAUUUAAGAUAUCAGAAUGAAGUUAUAUGAACCAACCAAACAAAAUUAUCAUAAUAGAAUUCCAUGGAGGCAUGGAACUUGGAAGGAGAGAGGAGCGGCAGACAGGCUUGCAGAUUCUCAAAAUACACAGCAGUCAUGGAAAGCUUUUGGUGUAGAACCAGUUCAAACGUCAAACACAGAAAGCUAACUGUUAUCGAAGGAUCCUUAGAUAAGAGCUGCAGUUUUGCUAACCCCAAUUCCCAAAAACACAAAUUUUAUAUUUUGGCAACAAUUACGACAAAAAUGGGACAGCAAAAAUAAGCCCCAAUCAAAUCAAAAAUAAGUAAGGCUAUGCACAGCUUCUUCUGUUUAUCAAUGAACCUCUUUGGCAGAGAGCUGGUGCUGGGGGACCGUAUUUAUAGGCAGACAGCUCCUCAUCAGCCGCUUGUUGAUUUGGAAGUAAGCAAAGCUUUGCAUGUCUGCAAAGCAGGAAGUUAAGAGCGAAUGGACCACCUAUAACAACAUAAAGUAAACUCCAUGAAGAGGAAUCCAGUAAAAUAGACUCAAUACAAGACAUUCAAAAGAGUAACUAACCUUCCCCAUUAUCUUCUGCACUUAAGACAAAGAAGACAUACUUGAGCAGCAGAAUCAAUGUCAGAGUCCAGAAUAUUAAGGAAAAUGCACAAAAAGUGGUGAUGUACUCAAGUCCCCAUAAAUGACACCAACACUUUGGUAUGCCAACAGAAGGGUCAUCAUUAAUUCGCCUACGUGUGUAUAUAUAUAUAUAUAUAUAUAUAUAUAUAUAUAUAUAUAUAUAUAUAUAUAUAUAUAUAUAUAUAUAUAUAAUUAGAGACUAGGGAGGGGUCAAUCUCAACUAGAUGAGCUAAACAAGCAAAUAAUCAGGUGCUAUAUUUUCUAAAUAUUGAUAUGUUGUGUUUGACCACCAUCUCUUUUGUUUUCUAUACUACAUUUGGGUACAUUUGUUGUCGUUUGUUUGAUUAGUUCGUUAAUCAGUGUUACUGAUUAGAUGGAAAGAAAAUUAAGAAAUGAAAAUAUACCCAAAGGUUGUUUGGCAGUGACU